rnacentral:misc_RNA from 1 species
GGAAAAACAGCUUGACCUCAUUUUAAACAGGAGCAUCUUAUGGACUGACUAUGGGUUACGUUCUCUAGCUAAAACAAGUUCUCUGUACAUGAAACGCAACACAGAGCAUGACCCACCUUAUUGGAGGGGCCCAAUUUGGAUGAACUUGAAUUACAGGAUUCUUUCUGCGCUCUACCACUACUCCAAAGAAGAUGGACCAUACAAAGAUAGGGCCAAGGCGAUCUAUGAGGACUUGAGGAGCAAUUUGAUUAGAAAUGUGGUUCAGAAUUAUCACCAAACUGGGUUUUUGUGGGAACAGUAUGAUCAGAAGAAGGGCAAAGGAAAGGGUGCACGCCUGUUUACCGGUUGGACAUCACUUGUGCUAUUAGUCAUGGCGGAAGCUUAUUGCUGAGCUAAAAUAUGUGUUUUUUUUUUCUAACUCAAUACAAAUUCAAACUCAGGAAUUAGUGUGCCAAUAUUAGAUGUAGCGAUUUCAUGUUGGCGGCAUCAGCCAAUUUUGGGUUAUUAAUACAAUUAGUAAACCAUAGU